rnacentral:rRNA from 1 species
AUGAACAUUUUAGCCUGGAACUGUCGGGGGUUGGGGUUGGACCCGACGGUUGGCGAACUACGGGACCUGGUUAGGUCAUACAACCCAGCGGUGGUGUUCUUAUCAGAAACUAAAAAAACAGUAGUAGCGAUGGUAAGAUUGAAGUGGAGUCUAGGAUUCAGGCACGGGGUUGCUGUGAGUUGUAAUGGAAAGAGUGGAGGACUGGCGUUA